GACAGAGGUGCCGAGCGUUAGGCGGAAUCACUGGGCUUAAAGCGUGUGUAGGCGGGCGGGCAAGUACCUCGUGAAAUCCCACGGCUCAACCGUGGAACGGCUGGGUAUACUGCCUGUCUUGAGCCAACUAGGGGCGAGCGGAACAGACGGUGGAGCGGUGAAAUGCGUAGAUAUCGUCUGGAACGCCAAAGGUGAAAACAGCUCGCUGGGGUUGUGCUGACGCUGAGACACGAAAGCCAGGGGAGCGAACGGG
rnacentral:rRNA from 1 species